rnacentral:rRNA from 1 species
CCUACGGGAUGCAGCAGUGGGGAAUAUUGCACAAUGGGGGAAACCCUGAUGCAGCGACGCCGCGUGAAGGAAGAAGUAUUUCGGUAUGUAAACUUCUAUCAGCAGGGAAGAAAAUGACGGUACCUGACUAAGAAGCCCCGGCUAACUACGUGCCCGCAGCCGCGGUAAUACGUAGGGGGCAAGCGUUAUCCGGAUUUACUGGGUGGAAAGGGAGCGUAGGCGGUUUAGCAAGUCAGACGUGAAAGCCCGGGGCUCAACUCCGGGACUGCUUUUGAAACUGUUGAAAUAGAGUGCAGGAGAGGUAAGUGGAAUUCCUAGUGUAGCGGUGAAAUGCGUAGAUAUUAGGAGGAACACCAGUGGCGAAGGCGGCUUACUGGACUGUAAAUGACGCUGAGGCUCGAAAGCGUGGGGAGCGAACAGGAUUAGAUACCCGAGUAGUC